GGGAGGCCAUGGCCCCCACUUGUCCCCCCUCCCUUCACCUCUGGAUGUGGUGCAUGAUCUUAACUUGUAUCUAGAACAAGAAAUGUUAUCAGCAACUAGUAUGAAAAUAAUGAAAUCAAUCCUAGCCAGUCUAAAUGUGGAAGCCAGCCAACCGUCAGUACCCUAAUUUAAUAACUAAAUAAUAUCGAUAUAACUUGCUACUGUUUGAAAAAAAAAAUAAAAAAUCUAUUCACCUUUAACUUUUGGGUCAAUGGCUGUAAAAUGAGACAAAGGUAGCACUCCCUUACCCUCAAAUCAACCCAAAAACCACCACCACCCCUUCCCAGAAAAAAAAAUUAAGGAGGUCCUUGAGUGAAACAAUUUUGUAAUAGGCAUCUAGAAUAGUAUCAGGACUUCACCAGUUAAGCUAGUUGGCACCUACACUGCAUCCUAAAAUCUCCCAUGUCCAAUUGAGAAGCUUUUAGACAGAAAGAGUACAAGCAUGACCUUCUAGUCCAUUUCUUCCAAUUUAGUAAUGCAGAAGCAUCGUGCUUCAUCUAUUCCCUACAAUAGUAGACCUCAUUUCAUUGAGCUACUUGCAGCUCCAGAUGAAAUUUUAAGAAUAAGAAAAUGAAGAAAGUAAUGCAGUAGCAAUUAGAGUAAAUGAGGACCAAGCAGUUUAGAGUAAGCAGGCUAUAACUAGCACAAGUGAAACUCUAUUAAAACAUAUCGAGUGGCAUAUGCACAAGCAUCAUAUUUUGCAUAGAGAUCAAAAUCAUUGAUUAGAUGGGUUGCACCAAAACUUCCCUAGGGCCAGAAUUUGGCAUAUGAAUCAAUAGCAGAAAAGGGCGAAGGAAAUGAGACAGCAUUGGGGUAACUAGGAUCAUAAGCUUUCUUAGCAUCAAAACUGGUAACUAGGAUCGAAUCUAAUCCUAUCUCACGGUUAAUUUGACUUGUUUUGAGCUUUCUUUGCAUUUAGCCAGUUCCCCUUCAAUCACCAUCCAUUAUAGAAAACAAACUUCGCAUUGAUGUUAGUAAAAAAAUGAGGUUCAGCCAUGAUUCAACAGAACCUUAUAGUGGGUACAUGUUAAUUUAUACACAUGCUUUGUUGGAAGUGUGUAACCCCACAAGGCUUCAGCCUGCAUAACCAGACAAAAAGCCAAAAGCAAAUUGACAUUUACCUCCAGGGUUCCAAAAGAGCU
rnacentral:misc_RNA from 1 species